rnacentral:rRNA from 1 species
CCUACGGGAGGCAGCAGUGAGGAAUAUUGGUCAAUGGGCGCAAGCCUGAACCAGCCAAGUCGCGUGAGGGAUGACGGUCCUAUGGAUUGUAAACCUCUUUUGUCGGGGAGCAAGGCCCGCCACGUGUGGCGGGAAGGCGCGUACCCGAAGAAAAAGCAUCGGCUAACUCCGUGCCCGCAGCCGCGGUAAUCCGGAGGAUGCGAGGUUUCUCCGGAUUUCUUGGGUUUAAGGGGAGCGUAGGUGGAUUGUUAAGUCCGUGGGGAAAGUUUGCGGCGCAACCGUAAAAGUGCAGUUGAUACUGGCAGUCUUGAGUACAGUAGAGGUGGGCGGAAUUCGUGGUGUAGCGGUGAAAUGCUUAGAUAUCACGAAGAACUCCGAUUGCGAAGGCAGUUCACGGGACUGCAACUGACACUGAGGCUCGAAAGUGUGGGUAUCAAACAGGAUUAGAUACCCGUGUAGUC